rnacentral:rRNA from 1 species
UACAGAGGGGGCAAGCGUUGUUCGGAAUUACUGGGCGUAAAGGGCGCGUAGGCGGCCUUCUAAGUCGAACGUGAAAUCCCCGGGCUCAACCCGGGAACUGCGUCCGAUACUGGAAGGCUUGAAUCCGGGAGAGGGAUGUGGAAUUCCAGGUGUAGCGGUGAAAUGCGUAGAUAUCAGGAGGAACACCGGUGGCGAAGGCGGGUCUCUGGCCGAUAUUGACGCUGAGGAGCGAAAGCGUGGGGAGCGAACAGG